UCCAACUUAUCGCUGGCGGUCUCCUGCGAGUCCCUCCCUUUCGGGGCUGGUAACACAGGACAAGGGUUGCGCUCGUUGCGGGACUUAACCCAACAUCUCACGACACGAGCUGACGACAGCCAUGCAGCACCUCGACCGGACCCCCUUGCGGGGUAGCCCUGUUUCCAGAGCCGUUGGCCGGCCGUUCGAGCCCAGGUAAGGUUCUUCGCGUUGCGUCGAAUUGAACCACAUGCUCCACCGCUUGUGCGGGCCCCCGUCAAUUCCUUUGAGUUUCAGCCUUGCGACUGUACUCCCCAGGCGGCACACUUAACGCGUUAGCUCCGGCACGGACAGAAUGAACUGCCCACACCAAGUGUGCAUCGUUUAGGGCGUGGACUAC
rnacentral:misc_RNA from 1 species